CAGCCGCCGCGGUAAUACGUAGGGUGCAAGCGUUAAUCGGAAUUACUGGGCGUAAAGCGUGCGCAGGCGGUUUGUUAAGACAGAUGUGAAAUCCCCGGGCUCAACCUGGGAACUGCAUUUGUGACUGGCAAGCUAGAGUGUGGCAGAGGGGGGUGGAAUUCCGCGUGUAGCAGUGAAAUGCGUAGAUAUGCGGAGGAACACCGAUGGCGAAGGCAGCCCCCUGGGCCAACACUGACGCUCAUGCACGAAAGCGUGGGGAGCAAACAGGAUUAGAUACCCCCGUAGUCCCUGUCUCUUAUAC
rnacentral:rRNA from 1 species